ACAAUUCUACUGCAGAGCCACCUGAUUCAGGUCCCCAGACGAGGGCUGAAGAGACCGGUCGACACCCCUGGACACAUAAACCUGGCUUAUUUCAAAACCUUUGUCCCUCAGUUCCAGGAGGCAGCGUUUGCCAAUGGAAAGCUCUAGGAAACACCAGUCUCAAGAGGUGGCCAGCCAGACUGCUGUGUCCACAUGCGGGUCAGCACAUAUGGCCGCUUCCUGGAAGCCGCUUGGAACGCCUUCAAGGUAGCGUUCUGCACACACAGCAGCUUUGCACGCCCCGCCUGGAGCCUAGACUGAAGCGGGCUGGCGCUAACCUGGAUCCUCGAGCCCCCACGGCUGGUCGCUCCCUCUUUGUUUCCUUCGGUAUACUUCUUAGUUGGAAGAAAUAAAAUCAAAUUCUGACACAGUA